AUGGGGAGGGGGAUGACACCAUUGCUCCCAGAGUCCCGAGUUUCACAUAAAAAAAACAAAAUAAAACAAAACAGAAUGCCGGCUUGCCCCUCGUUAACGAAUGGUAGCACAGGGGAGGAACAGGCGUGCUCCAGGCGCAGAUGGAGGAACACAGGUGUCCAUCAGACCUGUCCGCUCCGCACCGGCUUCCCCACACGGGUCUCCCAGGCUGCAGCCGCGACUCCAGGAGGCCUGAGCGUGGGGCCGCCGCGGAGGCUGCUCCCUGGGCAGGCGCGCCGCCGGCUCCCGCCGGCGGUGAGGUUACUUGCGGUCAAGGGCGCAGCCUGGCAGAGUCGCUCUGGCUCUCAGAGCCAGGCUGGCUGGCAGCAGUGCGCAGCCCGGAGCUGCCUGCCCCGCGCGUGUCCCGGCUCGCGCCCAGGGCUCCCGCGCCACACGUGGACUCUGGACCAAGGUCUCGGGGCCCCGGUCAAUAAAGAGAAGGAAAGGCGGGUAGAAAUGGUGGAGGAGAGCAAGAAGGUGCCUGAGUCCACUCACCAAGUAUCUACUGCGCUUCGGCUGAGGCUGGGCGCGCGCCUCGAGUCUGAGACACCGGUGCGCCCCCAGCAUCUCCAAAGCUUGGCUCAUUGUCCCCUCGAGGACGGUCACCUUGGGGCCCCUCUAGUCCUCCCCACCACCGCCGGACAGCUCCUGCCUCGUGCUGGAGACCACGCCAAACGCGUUCCGACCGGAACUCCUAACGCUCCCCGACAUCCCCCAAGGGCGGGACCGGUUACCACCCGCGCGAGUCGGACGGGGGCCUGGCCUCGGAGAAGCUGGAGCCUCGCCCGGAGUUUUGCAUCUCGUGAGAGGACCGGGACUCCGAGCAGGGUCUGGGCGACCCCGGAGCGCCGGUCACGGCCCACAGCCUCUCGGCUCGGCCGGGUGAUGGGGCAAACUGCGCCGCCGGCACCUGUUGGCGGCUCCGGCUGCGCGUACGAGAGGGAGCGGGCAGGACCGAGAAACGCGCAGGUGGGGCGCCGAGUGGCUUUGCACUUUGCGAGAGGCCCCCCCCCCCUUCUUGGGGAUCGCGGCCCUGGCGGGCGCAGGAUUUCAAAAAACAUCUACCUCGGGGCGGCUGGGGCAGCCGGAGGACCAGGGGUCCCCAAGAGCGCACUGCGGGGAAGCCGAGUGGCUGGAGUCGCGGCCGCCCGCGCAGCGGCGGGGGCCAAAGCGAAGCUGCGCGUGCCGGCGUCCACGCGGUGGGUGUGCGGUUCGUUCAUUCAAACUUUGGGGAGUCUCGGGUCUCACGUCAGCGAAGGUGUGACCAAUCAGAAUUCAGGGUGGUGA
rnacentral:lncRNA from 1 species